rnacentral:rRNA from 1 species
CGGGGAGGGUCUUUGGAUACUGGGGAUCUUGAGUGCAGAAGAAGAGAGUGGUCUUCCUCGUGUAGCGGUGAAAUGCGUAGAGAUGUGGAGGAACACCAGUGGCGAAGGCGACUCUCUGGUCUGUAACUGACGCUGAGGAGCGAAAGCGUGGGGAGCGAACAGGAUUAGAUACCCUGGUAGUCCACGCCGUAAACGAUGAGUGCUAAGUGUUAGGGGGUUUCCGCCCCUUAGUGCUGCAGCUAACGCAUUAAGCACUCCGCCUGGGGAGUACGGUCGCAAGACUGAAACUCAAAGGAAUUGACGGGGGCCCGCACAAGCGGUGGAGCAUGUGGUUUAAUUCGAAGCAACGCGAAGAACCUUACCAGGUCUUGACAUCCUCUGACAAUCCUAGAGAUAGGACGUCCCCUUCGGGGGCAGAGUGACAGGUGGUGCAUGGUUGUCGUCAGCUCGUGUCGUGAGAUGUUGGGUUAAGUCCCGCAACGAGCGCAACCCUUGAUCUUAGUUGCCAGCAUUCAGUUGGGCACUCUAAGGUGACUGCCGGUGACAAACCGGAGGAAGGUGGGGAUGACGUCAAAUCAUCAUGCCCCUUAUGACCUGGGCUACACACGUGCUACAAUGGACAGAACAAAGGGCAGCGAAACCG